CAGUAGCCGCGGUAAUACGUAGGUGGCAAGCGUUGUCCGGAAUUAUUGGGCGUAAAGGGCUCGCAGGCGGUUUCUUAAGUCUGAUGUGAAAGCCCCGGCUCAACCGGGGAGGGUCAUUGGAAACUGGGAAACUUGAGUGCAGAAGAGGAGAGUGGAAUUCCACGUGUAGCGGUGAAAUGCGUAGAGAUGUGGAGGAACACCAGUGGCGAAGGCGACUCUCUGGUCUGUAACUGACGCUGAGGAGCGAAAGCGUGGGGAGCGAACAGGAUUAGAUACCCCCGUAGUCCCUGUCUCUUAUACC
rnacentral:rRNA from 1 species